CCUACGGGCGGCAGCAGUGAGGAAUAUUGGUCAAUGGGCGCAAGCCUGAACCAGCCAAGUAGCGUGCAGGAUGACGGCCCUACGGGUUGUAAACUGCUUUUAUACGGGAAUAAAGCGCGAUACGUGUAUCGUUUUGAAUGUACCGUAUGAAUAAGGAUCGGCUAACUCCGUGCCAGCAGCCGCGGUAAUACGGAGGAUUCGAGCGUUAUCCGGAUUUAUUGGGUUUAAAGGGUGCGUAGGCGGGUUGUUAAGUUAGAUGUGAAAUGCCGGGGCUCAACCCCGGCAUUGCAACUGAUACUGGCGGGCUUGAGUUCAGUUGAGGUAGGCGGAAUUCGUGGUGUAGCGGUGAAAUGCUUAGAGAUCACGAAGAACACCGAUUGCGAAGGCAGCUUACUAAACUGCGACUGACGUUGAGGCUCGAAAGCGUGGGUAUCAAACAGGAUUAGAUACCCGUGUAGUC
rnacentral:rRNA from 1 species